CNGGAUGUUACUGGAAUCCCUGCCUCAUGGC
rnacentral:piRNA from 1 species